rnacentral:rRNA from 1 species
GAUGAACGCUGGCGGCGUGCCUAAUACAUGCAAGUCGAGCGAACAGAUAAGGAGCUUGCUCCUUUGACGUUAGCGGCGGACGGGUGAGUUACACGUGGAUAACCUACCUAUAAGACUGGGAUAACUUCGGGAAACCGGAGCUAAUACCGGAUAACAUAUUGAACCGCAUGGUUCAAUAGUGAAAGGCGGCUUUGCUGUCACUUAUAGAUGGAUCCGCGCCGUAUUAGCUAGUUGGUAAGGUAACGGCUUACCAAGGCAACGAUACGUAGCCGACCUGAGAGGGUGAUCGGCCACACUGGAACUGAGACACGGUCCAGACUCCUACGGGAGGCAGCAGUAGGGAAUCUUCCGCAAAGGGCGAAAGCCUGACGGAGCAACGCCGCGUGAGUGAUGAAGGUCUUCGGAUCGUAAAACUCUGUUAUCAGGGAAGAACAAAUGUGUAAGUAACUGUGCACAUCUUGACGGUACCUAAUCAGAAAGCCACGGCUAACUACGUG